GGCCCUGCUCACCGUCCAACCCUCUAGGGCCGUCUGGUACUCGGCGGCCUCCGUGGCCUCCCUCAGCAGCUCCUGGUAUCGGGGACAGCUUCGUGUAGGGAACCUCAGCAGCUGGAGAAAACGGAGGCUCAGCGGGGACAGCAGCGUGACUGGGGCCCGACUGCAGGCGGGGGGAGUCGGGCUGUGGGGCCCUGUCUCCGGUCCAGCGUCUCUCCCAGAUCCGGCUGCACAGUGUCGGGGGACACGGGUUCGAGCCCUGGUCCGGGAAGAUCCCACAUGCCGCGGAGCAACUAGCCCCGUGCGCCACAACUACUGAGCCUACAAGCCACAACUACUGAGCCUGCGAGGCACAACUACUGAAGUCCGCGCCUAGAGCCCGUGCUCCACAACAAGAGAAGCCACCGCAGUGAGAAGCCCGUGCUCGCCGCAACUAGAGAAAGCCCGUGCGCAGCAACAAAGACCCAACAUAGCCAAAAGAAGUGUUGAUCUGAUUAUCAUCAUCUCCACGGUGCAGACGGGGAAACCGAGGCACAGCAAGGGUUGACCCUAUUCCAUGAGGGAGGAGACUACAUGGGAUAUGAACUCCAGGAGAAUGCGACCCUGGCCAUAGCCGUAUUCACCAUCCUCACCUCCAUCUACUUCUUCAACAAGGCUCAGCAAUGAGAAGACACAGGACCCCUAAUCCAAGAGCCCUGCCUCUGCCCUGACCGUGACUGUGGCCUCUGAGACCAAAUAAAUGUGACUGAAUCAGCACACCCUGCUCUAUCCCACCACCCCAGCAGGCACACAGCCUCGGGCCAACUCUGUCUGAGGGCCAGGCUUCUGGGUCAGAGACAGGAGGCCCGCACUCCUGGGUCUGGGGAAGGUGAAGACUAGGGGGAUAGACUAUCAGGUUUGAGGCUAGGUGCCCAGAGACUGAGCUGUGUUUUGAGGGGGGAGUAGUCUGUCAGGAGCGUUUAGAGAGGGGGAAGGACAUUCCAACUUUGAGUGCAAAAACACAGAUAGGAGAAGAAGCAGGGAUGACUCACCACCUGGUACCAACACAAACUGCUGUGUACUUCAGAUUUAUUCCUUCUCUCUGAGUCUUGGUUUUCUUCUCAGUCAGACAAAGGUGAAAAUCUUGGACCAGUGGGCCCCAGAAGGCCGUGGCAAGGACAGCCUGAGAUCAAAGAUGCGAAUGGAAUUUGCAAGUUGCAAAGCCAGAAGUUGGUCAGCCCCGCUCUAGCAGGGAAGUCGAUUUCCGCAAAACAAGAAUUCCGAGACCUGAGCUGGGAUGGGGACCGGGAGAUCCAAGCACAGCUCACCGUGACAUCCAAGGUGCUGAGUUUGAAUCCGGAUCCUGACACCUUGACCCCGGCUGGGACUCCGGGCACUCAAUAAACGUAAUUGGAUGGAUUAGCGCAGUCAGACCGCUCAAGUCUUGACUACCACUCACUCGCUGUGUGACCUUUGAGGCUGAUCAAGGAAAUGCUGAUUCCCGCGCUGGGCCACGCGGAGAGGCUGCUGUCUCUCUGGGUCUCAAAACCCACCUCACCAACCAUGCGAGGCUCUCCCCAAUCAAAGACUACGAUCUCCCCAGGAGAAUCCUGAAGCGGCUGUGAAAACCACAGAGUCUCCUUGAAAGACUGCUUAACCAAAUUCAUUAGAAAAUCAAUGCAAAUUAAAAACCUCACCGGGAUCCCACUAGUCACCUCUGAGAAGGCGGAGAUCAAAGAGUCUGACAUCGCGGUUGCGUUGCGUUGGCGAAGCUCUGGGAAACCGCCUUUCGGAGCUCCCUGUGGAGGAGUCUAGCAACAUCUAACACGCCCUCUGACCCUGCCAGUCCCCGAGGAAAGAUCUAUUCUAACUGAUGACAAGACUGAUAAUAGCAAAUACGUCACACCUCCGAGGUGCCAGGUACGAACUAAACGCUUUAUCCACAUGAAUACACGUAAUCAUCCCAGUGACUCUUUGAGGGAGGUGCUGUUAUAUCUCAUUUCACUUAGGUGGAAACUGAGGCAUAGAGAGUGAAAGCAACUUGACAGGUGUCACCCAGCUAUAAGCAGCUGUCAUGCCAUUCUGCCUUCUUGGAGUGUUCACCAAAGUACACAGGUACAAAUGUAAAAGGAUACUAUUGUUGGAGAGGCAGAGAGAACAGCUUCUUUAUACUAUCCACUUUUUGUUGUUUUUAUUAAAUUCCUCAUUAAAAUCUGUCCAUGAGGACUUCCCUGGUGGUGCAGUGGUUUAGAAUCUGCCUGCCAAUGCAGGAGACAGGGGUUUGAUCCCUGGUCCGGGAAGAUCCCACAUGCCGUGGAGUAACUAAGCCUGUGCGCCACAACUACUGAGCCUGCAUGCCACAACUAUGGAAGCCCAUGUGCCUAGAGCCUGUGCUCCACAACAAGAGAAGCCAUUGCAUGAGAAGCCCGUGCAUCGCAAGGCAAAGAGUACCUCCCGCUCGCCGCAGCUAAAGAAAAUCUAUGCACAGCAACGAAUACCCAAUGCAGCCAAAAAUAAAUAAAUUUUUAAAAAGUAAAAGUACUUUCCUUUAAAAAAAAUCUAUCCAUGCUUUCUUUCAAAUUUUAGUGCGCUUACAUUAUUGUUCUUUUUCUAGCCUCUUGAAUUGUUUUGCUCAUCUCCUUUCAUGUGAGCAUUUUUCCGAAUUAGCAUCUGAAGCUACAGCUCUUCCUCAGAGUAUAGCUUUGGCCCCACCUCACAAGUUUUGUUGUGUAGUGUGCUCAUUUCUAAAUGAAUGGCACUCCAGUUUUAUUCUUCCAUUUAACCCAAGAGUUACUUAGAGAAUGUUUUGAAAUGUGCAAAACAAGCUGAGUGUCUGUGGUUAUUCUUCAUUAUUAAUUUCUAAUUUUGAAUGUGGCCUGUAUUAUUUCUGCUUUUGGCAAUCAACUUGUGCUGUGUUUCUGACCCAUAGUCUAUUCUUGGGAAGGGGGGAGAAUAUCAUUGCAGGACUCUGAUUUUUUUUUAAUGCUAUAAAGUUCAUUAUUGGCACAACUAGGAAAUUUUGAAUUUGGAUUGUUUAUUAGAUAAUAUCAAUGUUAAAGUUCUUGAGGGUGGUAAUGAUAUUAUGGUUGUGGCACAGA